rnacentral:rRNA from 1 species
CUUUGGCCUUAGUGGCGCACGGGUGCGUAACGCGUGGGAAUCUGCCCUUUGCUUCGGAAUAACAGUUAGAAAUGACUGCUAAUACCGGAUGAUGUCUUCGGACCAAAGAUUUAUCGGCAAAGGAUGAGCCCGCGUAGGAUUAGGUAGUUGGUGGGGUAAAGGCCUACCAAGCCGACGAUCCUUAGCUGGUCUGAGAGGAUGAUCAGCCACACUGGGACUGAGACACGGCCCAGACUCCUACGGGAGGCAGCAGUGGGGAAUAUUGGACAAUGGGCGCAAGCCUGAUCCAGCAAUGCCGCGUGAGUGAUGAAGGCCUUCGGGUCGUAAAGCUCUUUUGCCCGGGAUGAUAAUGACAGUACCGGGAGAAUAAGCUCCGGCUAACUCCGUGCCAGCAGCCGCGGUAAUACGGAGGGAGCUAGCGUUGUUCGGAAUUACUGGGCGUAAAGCGCACGUAGGCGGUUACUCAAGUCAGAGGUGAAAGCCCGGGGCUCAACUCCGGAACUGCCUUUGAAACUAGGUGACUGGAAUCUUG